rnacentral:rRNA from 1 species
ACGUUAUUGUUUAAGAGCCGCGGUAUAUUGACCGUGCAAAGGUAGCAUAAUCAUUAGUUUCUUAAUUGGGAACUUGUAUGAAGGGUCGGACAAAGGAAAAACUGUCUUUAUUGUAGAAGUUGAAUUUGACUUUUAAGUGAAAAGGCUUAAAUGGUUCAAGGGGACGAUAAGACCCUAUAAAACUUUAUGUGUUGAUUAAGUUUAAUUAAAUUAUAGUAAUAAAGAUUUAAUGUGAUUGUCAUAUUUUAUUGGGGCGAUAAUAGUAUAAUUGUUAUUAACUACUUAAGAUUAAUACAAUGAUAAGUGAGAAAGAGUUGUAAUUGAUCCUUUUUAGAGAUUAAAAGACUAAGUUACUUUAGGGAUAACAGCGUAAUUCCUUUUGAGAGUUCAUAUCGAAAAAGGAGCUUGCGACCUCGAUGUUGAAUUAAAGUGUCUGUAUAGUGUAGGUGCUAUAUAAGAA